AUAUUUAAAAACAUAUUUUAUUUCCAUUAUGGACAACAAAAAGAGAGUAACAGCUGAUGGUUGACUACAAGAAAAAUAUAAGAGAAAGAGGAGAGUGUCAAUAUUGCCCGGACAAGAAAACACAGGAAAAAAUGAAUUGCAUUGAGAAAGUGAUUAAAAGAAAUUGAUUCCGUUAUUUCUGAGAGAAAAAAACGCAUAUAUAUAUAGAAUACACCUAGCAACGAGUUUGCUUGUAUCACAUGGCUCUUGAGUCUGCACUUUUCAGGAUUUAACUCUUAAGAGAGCCACAGAAUUAUCAGAGCAGAGCCGAAAGCCAAGUAACUAUUCUUCUAAGUAGAACCAGAAACCUAGUUCUUCCCCAACUGCAAUGAAGAUUCGCUGGUGGGUGAAUGGGCAACUAAAGGCCAGAGAAGUUCUAUUAUUUGCCCUAAAUCACUCAACUAAUUAGUGGUCAUACUGGAAUCAGAACCAAGAUUUUGCAUUGUUAGGUUUUAAUUUUGUUACAUUUGCACUCUAACUGCACUGAAAACAGAAAAAAGAAAUGCGUAGUGCAGUUUCUAAAUUGCCACAGCUGGAGCACUUUAAGAGCUACAAUUGUCCAGUUAAGGCGGUAGUGGGUGGAUGGUGCUGCCAUGUUAAUUCGGUGGAAUAAAACCAGAGGUGAGUUAGGCCGGGCGCGGUGGCUCACGCUUGUAAUCCCAGCACUUUGGGAGGCCGAGGUGGGCGGAUCACCUGAGGUCGCGAGUUUGAGACCAGCCUGACCAACAGGGAGAAACCCCGUCUACCAAAAAUACAAAAUUAGCCGGCCCUGGUGGCAUGCGCCCGUAAUCCCAGCAACUCGGGAGGCUGAGGCAGGAGAAUCGCUUGAACCCAGGAGGCGGAGGAUGCAGUGAGCUGAGAUCGCGCCAUUGCACU
rnacentral:lncRNA from 1 species